UUGUCUGCAGAUCACAGCCACACAUAUAGACACACAAAAGAUAGGAAGUUUGUACCUCCAAAGUCGGCUAAAUUAUUUCUGAAGACCCUUGUUAGUGGCCCUGUGGAACUGUCUUCACUUUUGUAGAACUAGAGCUUGAGAUGAUCAUUAUGACAUAGCACUUCAGAAGGAUAGUCACUUAGAUGUCAUAAUGGCUGGGCUGUGGACACAAGGAAUUUUCAAGACAAGUUAGAGGCAGAUUGAUACCACCAACCAAGCCAGCUAUCUGUCUCCACCUGGAGCAGAAAUCUACCACACCUAUGUAAGAUAAAAACAUGUCAAGAUUCCGCCGAUAUCAUAGACAUCGCAGCAAAAAAUGUGGCAAUCGUAAAGGGAAAGCACGUGGGAAAAAGAAAGGCCGGAAAAAAGGACAUGGAGCCCGACACACAAAAAAAGGAGGUCGUCACCACUAUAGGAGAUGUGUAAUAUAUUAAUCUGGAACUGUGAAGACCUGGUGAGAAGAAAUUAUUGCAUGAUCCGAACUGACAACUUUCUCCAGACAUAACAUCGACAUAAAGAAAAAAAAUCAGGAAAUGAUGUAGAUCAUUUCCAAAUAAAACCUCCUUGGAAUGUU